rnacentral:misc_RNA from 1 species
CGUUUUGAAAGAUUGCCAUGGGCAAGGAGAAAGAACACACCACAGCUCCCAGGAAACAAGUACAAGUGGAGUGAACCCAUUUUGCAAUCUUAAUUGGAUCGUUAAGAGAUUGUGGAUUUAUAAGGUUGUUUCCGUCUGAAUUUGGAUUGGAAGUCGAUUAUGGGAGUUUAAUUUUCCUACUCAUAUCUCUCUUCAAUUCUUGGACUUGGGAACUUGUUUUUGUGAUGUAAUAAUCGAUUAGGAUCCUCCAACAGCUAUUUCUUCCUUCAUUUUGAACAUUUCUGCUCAAAUUAAACAAAUUUGACACCAUCAACUUCAAACAUAUAAGCCAGAAUAUGAGCAAGAGGAG